rnacentral:tRNA from 1 species
CCAACCAUAGCUCAGUUGGUAGAGCGGAGGACUGUAGAUUAUAGUAGUAGUUAUCCUUAGGUCACUGGUUCGAAUCCGGUUGGUUGGA